rnacentral:rRNA from 1 species
CCUACGGGAGGCAGCAGUGGGGAAUAUUGCACAAUGGGGGAAACCCUGAUGCAGCGACGCCGCGUGAGUGAAGAAGUAUUUCGGUACGUAAAGCUCUAUCAGCAGGGAAGAAAAUGACGGUACCUUACUAAGAAGCCCCGCCUAACUACGUGCCCGCAGCCGCGGUAAUUCGGAGGGGGCAAGCGGUAUCCGGAUUUACUGGGUGUAAAGGGAGCGUAGACGGGAGGGCAAGUCUGGAGUGAAAUCCCAUGGCUUAACCAUGGAACUGCUUUGGAUACUGUGCAGCUAGAGUGCAGGAGAGGUAAGCGGAAUGCCUAGUGUAGCGGUGAAAUGCGUAGAUAUUAGGAGGAACACCGGUGGCGAAGGCAGCUUACUGGACUGUAACUGACGUUGAGGCACGAAAGCGUGGGGAGCAAACAGGAUUAGAUACCCUAGUAGUC